CCGUCGAUAGCUCAGUUGGUAGAGCGGAAGACUGUAGAGUUGCAGCAAUUCUUAAGUCGCUGGUUCGAAUCCGGCUCGACGGA
rnacentral:tRNA from 1 species